GAGCAUCCCUAAACCAGUGGUGGCGAGAGGAGGAGGUAGAGGCAGGAGGUCUUGGUGCUCCAUUCCAAAACCCCACCAUGCUCAGAAUAUCCAAAAGAAGGGGAAAGUUUGUGAAGAAAAAGAAAAGAAUACUGCAACUCACUGCUAGAGGCGUUAAUACGACGCUAACGAAGCGUAGCCCUUCCAGAGCAGAGCUGGCAACAUUAGCACCCAUCUGUGCCGAGUGGGAUGUGCAAGCAGAAGUCAGGGCUGAGCAGCCUCCACCUGUUUGCAGAGAGCAAGUGAGCACCCUCUGAAGUUACUCAGCGUAUUCGCCCUGUCUUGGGCAGGCUGGGCGAUGUUGUUACUCCUGCUUUUCUGCUGUCUCAUAUCUCCUACUGCCAUGUGCCAGCUGAUAGGGGAGCUGUGACAUACCACACCCCCGCGGCCAGGAAGGGGGUCACAUGGACUGCUCUCAUCCAGAGCACUUUAAAGAAACCGAUAAGCUCUAUCUCAUUUAACUUGGCCUUUGGAAGACGCUUGUGGAAAUUUCUGCAAAGGAGGUGACAUCAGUUGUUGUCACAGCUGCUGUGUGAGUCUGCAAGGCUGCGUCUGUUCAGUAUCUGCCCGGGGUGUGUAUGCGUGUGCAAGUAGAUAUUGUGCAUAGAUUGCAUUUAAAUCAAAACCAGUCCACAUGGAGCUGGCAAGAAGGUUCACUUGCUCAGAAGAGGUGCAUUACCAUCGAGACUUGAGGCAAGGAUGGAGGAUGUAAACUUAAUAAAGCACAAAGACAACCAGCUUUGGAGGGCUGGCGCGUACAUUUGAAACAAACCUUCUCCCUGGGGAAUUCCAAGUGUUAGCAUGUGGGACAUACUCCAGCUGCUAGCUGCUCAGACUUAAAAUAAACCAGGCAAAAUCCCAUAUUCAGGUUCUACCAACUGAGGCAAGCUGCUAUUGCAAAUGUUUCGUCCCCCAUUUUCUUCCAGUUGCGUCAGGAUGGCAACAAAUAUUUUUGAAAGGACAUUUAAACCCUUAGUAUUUCACACAGCUUUCCUUGUGCUUCUCUGUAGUGAUGUGUUUCUCAACACAGCUGUAAAUUUAGCAAAGAAUCUGGUUUGUACAGGUUGAAACACUGUCCCAGGAAGGCUGGAAUUAAAAAAAACAGGGUGAGAAGGAGUAUUUCUAGCUUGUGUGACAAUGACAUUGCUACCAAUACUGCUUUCCUAAUCCUAGGUGCUUUAAAAAUCUCAGCAUGACUUCAUUUACAGAGAACUAUUUGCCUUCUUGAACUGUGGAGACCGUUUUUCUUAAAGAGAAACACAUGUGACUUAAGGAUGGUUGCUUCUUUCUUCUUUCUUAACAUAUUGAAGAGGAAAUAAUUUAAUGUAUCUGUGGAAGACUCCAUAACAGGAUUUCAGGAAAAAAAAAAGAUGUCUGGGAGUCGUAUGAUUGUUUGACAACUAGAAUAUGAAUAACUUUGAGGAGGUCUGAAAAUAGACUACAGUACUGUUUGCUUUGUCUUGUGGUUUGAAAUUGACUUCAGGACUUUUAAAAAAAAAUUAUUUUAAUAACCCUCUGACUAUAAUUUAUUUCCAAGGUAUGAGGUACUUGGGAGGGGUGGGAAACAAUCAACUUAAUGCAAUCUAUGCAAAUAAUGUCUAAUUUUUUUUUCAACAGUAACCCAUGUGAAACUUCAUUCAUCAAGACUACUCAGUUUUUCUGUGAUAAAACCUGUUGUGCAACAUAAUACACAACAUUUAGGAAUUCAAUGCUCUUAUUACUGUCAAAAGCCUAGAUAAUAAACUCUACCAGUCAGCUUGAAAAAUUUACACAAGUGACUGACAUGACCAAC